UACGGAGGGUGCGAGCGUUGUCCGGAAUCACUGGGCGUAAAGGGCGCGUAGGCGGCGCGAGCAGUCAACGGUGAAAGCCCGGAGCUCAACUCCGGGUCGGCCGUCGAUACUCUCGUGCUUGAGCACUGUAGAGGCAGGUGGAAUUCCGGGUGUAGCGGUGGAAUGCGUAGAGAUCCGGAAGAACACCGGUGGCGAAGGCGGCCUGCUGGGCAGUUGCUGACGCUGAUGCGCGACAGCGUGGGGAGCAAACGGG
rnacentral:rRNA from 1 species